GCCCCUAUAGCUCAGUUGGUAGAGCUACGGACUUUUAAUCCGCAGGUCCCAGGUUCGAGUCCUGGUGGGGGCACAA
rnacentral:tRNA from 1681 species